UUGAAAGGUGUGUGCAGACCUUUGUCUGGUGUGGAUGUUGAAGCUGAUUUAAAGCAGGGACUGGAGUGUUGUGUUGUUAUGAACAAUAUUUUAAACCUGGAAACCAUUGAUGCUAACUUGAAACACGGUGGAAAGAACCUGGUGGGAGGGAGAUGUUGAACUUCCAACAUAAAAAAGAAGACAGGAGAAAUGAAGCUCAGAACACAUGAGGGAACAUGAUUCCACUGACCUUCCACAGGUAUGAAGACAGUAGGUUGCUACACUCCUCUAAGAUACAACUCACUGGCAAGUGAAGAGAAAGGAGGAACAGCCUAUGAGGAACAGAGAGGAGUGUGACCAACACUAGACGGGAGUAAACCUUGCUCAAUAGCUACCAGCCAGGUUCUUCUCACCCUAUUGACUUAAAGUUGAGGCCACAGGGAAAGUGGCGUAGACUCGGCCAGUGGCAUCUGAGUACUGCCCUUCAGUUGGAGACUUGCCUUUCCAUCAUGCAGGGUGUCCAUUUUCAGUAAUGAAGGUAAGAUCCAGGUGGGCCAGUAUCUUUCUUAAGUCUCUCAGGAGAUACAGAACUUGCAUCAUCUACAGAAGGUGCUCCAGUGCAUAAAACUUCUCUAUCUACCCCAUGGCUUCAAGACUCUUUCUUAAUCCCAGAGGGGCAUCAAAAAUAUUCUAAUGAUAUACCUCAAUCAAACAGACAAAAAGUAUGGUCAUUGUUUUCCUGUGGAUUGCUUGAUUGUUGGAAUAAAAUAAACGUUAGGUAGCUUAGGUUGGACUUAGGCUAGGGCUCAGGUGCCCAUCAUGAAGACCUGGUUUUACAUUACCUAUGAGGAAGAUCCGAUCUUGUACAUUUACCAGCUCCUGGAAGACUACAUUGACGGUAACCUCCACACCCAUAACUGAGGAGCUAUUGAUAUACUGGUAGAUUUGGAGGGAGGGGGAAUGGGAUUUCUUUAAGGGUG